GACGAACGCUGGCGGCGUGCUUAACACAUGCAAGUCGAGCGGUAAGGUCCUUUCGGGGGUACACGAGCGGCGAACGGGUGAGUAACACGUGGGUGACCUGCCCUCAGCUCUGGGAUAAGCCGUGGGAAACCGGGGUCUAAUACCGGAUAUGACUCCAUGACGCAUGUUGUGGGGUGGAAAGCCUUGUGCGGCUGAGGAUGGGCCCGCGGCCUAUCAGCUUGUUGGUGGGGUGA
rnacentral:rRNA from 1 species